UGUUUGUUAGGUUGGUGAGAAAGGGGGUUCCCCGAAAAGUUUCGUUAGUGAUUGGUUCUUUUCCGUUUUGGGGGGGUACGGGAAUUAUCCCACAUUCUGAGAAAGUGAGACAAUGCGUUUUCUAGAAUUACAGAGAAGAGAAACUGUAGGGUUGUCCUGAGGUUUCAACAAACCAAGGGAGAGUUAUCAUCAAAAUGAGGUGAAGAGUUGAGGACAGAUCAAUGAAGAACCUAUAUGAAGAAGAUUGUGGAGUAUUCUGUUUUUAAUCUGGCAACACCAUUAGUUCAAAUCACAAGUUCACGAGUUCAAAUCUACCUUACUGAUAAUCACAUUAAUAGACAGUUUUGCAUGACCUGUCUUAACAAUACAGACAAUUUUCACACAACUGUAUAAAUUUGAAGAUAAUGGAAAGUAGGAACUUUCCAAGACAACAAAACCAUCUUUCUGAUGGAAAUGCAGCCAUUGACUUAGGUACUUCUCUAUCUGAGUCUCCUGCUCCAUGGAAUGGUGGUUUAGCUUAUGAUGCACCGGAUGGUACCCUGACAAGAAGUGGGAAUCCUGGGGAGAGACUUGU